rnacentral:tRNA from 2 species
GGUUAUUUAGUUUACAUUUAAAACAAGUAUUUUGAAAGUACUAAAAAAGAAUUCCUAUCUUAAUAAUCG